AGUAAGGAUAGAGGCGCAAAGACCAUCAGUACACACGUGGAGGAUGAUGAGAUCCUGUGACAUUUGUGGAAAGGGGAAUUUGCCGAAGUGGAGAGAAUCUCAUUUUCUUGAAGCUGGUUCUGUGUUGAAUAAACACAGAAUUGUCAUAUAGGAAACUAUAUGGAGGGCUAUCUUAUGC
rnacentral:ncRNA from 1 species